GGUGACUGACAUAUAGUAAGUGGGUAUACAUGGUAUUCCUACUAUGUAUUUGUGAUAGGAGUUAAUAUUAAUAACAACAUAGUGUAAGAAGCAAUAAUCAAGUCACAGAAUCACUUGAGUUUGUUAAAAUACAAAUGGUCUGACCUUAUUUAUUCCUGUCCACUCAGAGAUUUUGGUCAAUUAAGUCUGUGAGACCUGGACAGCCUCAGUUUUAGCAAUCCUCAGGUGGUUCUUGAAAAAAACCCCAAAACCCUAAAGUUUGAGAACCCUGCACUCUUUAACAAAAAAAAGAGAGUGCA